rnacentral:rRNA from 1 species
GGUUAAGCGACUAAGCGUACACGGUGGAUGCCCUGGCAGUCAGAGGCGAUGAAGGACGUGCUAAUCUGCGAAAAGCGUCGGUAAGGUGAUAUGAACCGUUACAGCCGGCGAUGUCCGAAUGGGGAAACCCAGUGCAAUUCGUUGCACUAUCGUUAACUGAAUACAUAGGUUAACGAGGCGAACCGGGGGAACUGAAACAUCUAAGUACCCCGAGGAAAAGAAAUCAACCGAGAUUCCCCCAGUAGCGGCGAGCGAACGGGGAGCAGCCCAGAGUCUGAAUCAGCUUGUGUGUUAGUGGAACGGUCUGGAAAGUCCGACGGUACAGGGUGAUAGUCCCGUACACCAAAAUGCACAGGCUGUGAACUCGAAGAGUAGGGCGGGACACGUGGUAUCCUGUCUGAAUAUGGGGGGACCAUCCUCCAAGGCUAAAUACUCCUGACUGACCGAUAGUGAACCAGUACCGUGAGGGAAAGGCGAAAAGAACCCCGGCGAGGGGAGUGAAAAAGAACCUGAAACCGUGUACGUACAAGCAGUGGGAGCACCUUUAUGGUGUGACUGCGUACCUUUUGUAUAAUGGGUCAGCGACUUAUAUUCUGUAGCAAGGUUAACCGUAUAGGGGAGCCGCAGGGAAACCGAGUCUUAACUGGGCGUUAAGUUGCAGGGUAUAGACCCGAAACCCGGUGAUCUAGCCAUGGGCAGGUUGAAGGUUGGGUAACACUAACUGGAGGACCGAACCGACUAAUGUUGAAAAAUUAGCGGAUGACUUGUGGCUGGGGGUGAAAGGCCAAUCAAACCGGGAGAUAGCUGGUUCUCCCCGAAAGCUAUUUAGGUAGCGCCUCGUGAACUCAUCUUCGGGGGUAGAGCACUGUUUCGGCUAGGGGGUCAUCCCGACUUACCAACCCGAUGCAAACUACGAAUACCGAAGAAUGUUAUCACGGGAGACACACGGCGGGUGCUAACGUCCGUCGUGAAGAGGGAAACAACCCAGACCGCCAGCUAAGGUCCCAAAGUCAUGGUUAAGUGGGAAACGAUGUGGGAAGGCACAGACAGCCAGGAUGUUGGCUUAGAAGCAGCCAUCAUUUAAAGAAAGCGUAAUAGCUCACUGGUCGAGUCGGCCUGCGCGGAAGAUGUAACGGGGCUAAACCAUGCACCGAAGCUGCGGCAGCGACGCUUAUGCGUUGUUGGGUAGGGGAGCGUUCUGUAAGCCUGCGAAGGUGGCCUGUGAGGGUUGCUGGAGGUAUCAGAAGUGCGAAUGCUGACAUAAGUAACGAUAAAGCGGGUGAAAAGCCCGCUCGCCGGAAGACCAAGGGUUCCUGUCCAACGUUAAUCGGGGCAGGGUGAGUCGACCCCUAAGGCGAGGCCGAAAGGCGUAGUCGAUGGGAAACAGGUUAAUAUUCCUGUACUUGGUGUUACUGCGAAGGGGGGACGGAGAAGGCUAUGUUAGCCGGGCGACGGUUGUCCCGGUUUAAGCAUGUAGGCUGGUUAUCCAGGCAAAUCCGGAUAAUCAAGGCUGAGGUGUGAUGACGAGGCACUACGGUGCUGAAGUAACAAAUGCCCUGCUUCCAGGAAAAGCCUCUAAGCAUCAGGUAACAUCAAAUCGUACCCCAAACCGACACAGGUGGUCAGGUAGAGAAUACCAAGGCGCUUGAGAGAACUCGGGUGAAGGAACUAGGCAAAAUGGUGCCGUAACUUCGGGAGAAGGCACGCUGGUGUGUAGGUGAAGUCCCUGCGGAUGGAGCUGAGACCAGUCGAAGAUACCAGCUGGCUGCAACUGUUUAUUAAAAACACAGCACUGUGCAAACACGAAAGUGGACGUAUACGGUGUGACGCCUGCCCGGUGCCGGAAGGUUAAUUGAUGGGGUUAUCCGUAAGGAGAAGCUCUUGAUCGAAGCCCCGGUAAACGGCGGCCGUAACUAUAACGGUCCUAAGGUAGCGAAAUUCCUUGUCGGGUAAGUUCCGACCUGCACGAAUGGCGUAAUGAUGGCCAGGCUGUCUCCACCCGAGACUCAGUGAAAUUGAACUCGCUGUGAAGAUGCAGUGUACCCGCGGCAAGACGGAAAGACCCCGUGAACCUUUACUAUAGCUUGACACUGAACAUUGAGCCUUGAUGUGUAGGAUAGGUGGGAGGCUUUGAAGCGUGGACGCCAGUCUGCGUGGAGCCAACCUUGAAAUACCACCCUUUAAUGUUUGAUGUUCUAACGUUGGCCCCUAAUCGGGGUUGCGGACAGUGUCUGGUGGGUAGUUUGACUGGGGCGGUCUCCUCCCAAAGCGUAACGGAGGAGCACGAAGGUUAGCUAAUCCUGGUCGGACAUCAGGAGGUUAGUGCAAUGGCAUAAGCUAGCUUGACUGCGAGCGUGACGGCGCGAGCAGGUGCGAAAGCAGGUCAUAGUGAUCCGGUGGUUCUGAAUGGAAGGGCCAUCGCUCAACGGAUAAAAGGUACUCCGGGGAUAACAGGCUGAUACCGCCCAAGAGUUCAUAUCGACGGCGGUGUUUGGCACCUCGAUGUCGGCUCAUCACAUCCUGGGGCUGAAGUAGGUCCCAAGGGUAUGGCUGUUCGCCAUUUAAAGUGGUACGCGAGCUGGGUUUAGAACGUCGUGAGACAGUUCGGUCCCUAUCUGCCGUGGGCGCUGGAGAAUUGAGGGGGGCUGCUCCUAGUACGAGAGGACCGGAGUGGACGCAUCACUGGUGUUCGGGUUGUCAUGCCAAUGGCACUGCCCGGUAGCUAAAUGCGGAAGAGAUAAGUGCUGAAAGCAUCUAAGCACGAAACUUGCCCCGAGAUGAGUUCUCCCUGAGACUUUAAGUCUCCUGAAGGAACGUUGAAGACGACGACGUUGAUAGGCCGGGUGUGUAAGCGCAGCGAUGCGUUGAGCUAACCGGUACUAAUGAACCGUGAGGCUUAACCUU